UACGGAGGGGGCUAGCGUUGUUCGGAUUUACUGGGCGUAAAGCGUGCGUAGGUGGUUUGUUAAGUCUGUUGUGAAAGCCCCGGGCUCAACCUGGGAAUGGCAAUGGAUACUGGCAGGCUAGAGUGCGGUAGAGGGUAGUGGAAUUCCCGGUGUAGCGGUGAAAUGCGUAGAGAUCGGGAGGAACACCAGUGGCGAAGGCGGCUACCUGGACCAGCACUGACACUGAGGCACGAAAGCGUGGGGAGCAAACAGG
rnacentral:rRNA from 1 species